AGAGCGAGCGAGGGGGGUUAAAAAAAAGGAUUUUAGGGAGGGAGAAAACGGGCCGCGGAGACGGGCCGACUGUCUUGUCUGUCUGCCCGCCCUAGGUGCCCCGGCUGCUCGGCCCCCGCCGCAGUCAGAAAUUCACACAAAAUGGCGGCCCGGCCUGGAGGAGCCGAGAGGCUGAGGCGGGAGGAAGGGCGAGGUGGGAGGGGGAACUGGGAGGCGGAGGCCGCGUCACGUGGAGGAGAGGGGCACAGGCCUUCUCCCGAAGGCCGGCGGAAAGAGCCGAAGGGAGGGAGUGAGGCCGAGGCAAGGCGGAAAAAACCGAAGGCAGAGGAGCGAGAGACGGGCAGAGACGGAAAGAGCCGAGGGUCACUGAAGAUAUAAUGAACUAAAUGAAGAUGCGUUCACACCGCACCCUCUCGGUGGGAGUAGCGUCGAGGGGUUGCUGAAGAUCAAGCAUGGGGAAUAGAAGAUCGACACGGCUGUAGCCAUCUGUGCAAAAUGCAAUCGGCCUCAGCGCUAAUCAAGAGAACGUACUGCAUGCCCUUGUUGCGAUAAUCGUUUCCUUCAUUGGCGUCGUUUAACCCAGCGAAUAUUUGGAGUUAAAUAUAGACAUUUUCAAGUGG